GGAAACUAGACCAGUAAGAGUAACAAUAUGUUCGGACUCAAGUUCAGUUCUAACCAGUCUACAGAGCAGUAAGUCAGAUAGCAGGCCGGACAUUCUAAUAGAGAUAAAACAGAUUUUAUAUAGAAUAGAGAUGAUGGGUAUAACAGUGGUGUUUGUGUGGGUACCGGCACAUAUUGGAGUGAGAGGGAAUGAGGUGGUAGAUAAGGUGGCAAAAGAGGCAACAAAAUGUGAAGAAAUUGAAUUACGCAUAAAUAUCAGCAAGAUGGAGGGUAAAAACAUAAUUAAAAGGAAAAUGAAGGAGAAAUGGCAGAAGAGCAGAAGGGAAGAAACCGUAAUAUCACGGUUAAGAUUUGGACAUACAGGGCUAAAUGCAUCGUUGUUUAUGGUUGGAAAACAUGACACAGGGAGGUGUGAUCAUUGUGAGGAGCAGGAAACUGUAGA